AAGAAGUUAGGCGUUAAAUGUUUUUCACGACUAUAAGAAAUAUAAAGAUGAAGAGUAAGUUUGGGAGAGAGAUGAGAGUUUGAGAAUUAUUAGUGGAGUAGUAAUUCAUAGUGGUGGGAUAAACACGAAAUUGAUGGAAUAUUAAUUAGUCGGAGAUGAUGGUGUUGCAAAAUGAAAUGAGUUCAAGAGUUAGCAGGUGUAUGUGAUUUCUGGAGAGACAGAUCAGAGUUGCGCAGCUAGUCAGUUUGUUAGAUUACUGCGGCUAUGUUUGUUAUGUUGCAUAUUAUAUUUGUAAACCAAAUGGCUAAUGUAUAUGUAUUAUUUGAGAGAAGUUCUUGUAUAUAUAUUUCUGAGCGGGGGUUAAGUUUUGUAGCAGA